CCUGUGGGGGGCGCCGUCUGCGAGAGCCGAGUUCAGCGAGUCGUGGACCAUGGCCAGCCUCCUCUUCAGGGCUUGUUCCCUGGCAGAUAAAGAAAACAAGUGGAUCAGAAGACGGAGGCGAGAGGUGCGGCGUGACUUCCUGCUGCAGGGACAGGACGGCCGAGCAGAAGACCUUGAGGAACUAAAAUAUCUGACUCGGCCUGGAGGGAUUCUGCUUUGGAAGACGUGAUUUCCCAGUCAUCGUCGCAGCAGUUGGAGCCCUUCAUACCUGUUCGGUCUUACGAUCUUCAGCCUCGUCUCUGAGGUUUUCUGGGAUGAAAACUC